UACGUAGGGGGCAAGCGUUGUCCGGAAUCAUUGGGCGUAAAGCGCGUGUAGGCGGCCAGAUAGGUCUGCUGUGAAAACUCGAGGCUCAACCUCGAGACGUCGGCGGAAACCAUCCAGCUAGAGUCCGGAAGAGGAGAGUGGAAUUCCUGGUGUAGCGGUGAAAUGCGCAGAUAUCAGGAAGAACACCCGUGGCGAAAGCGGCUCUCUGGGACGGUACUGACGCUGAGACGCGAAAGCGUGGGGAGCAAACAGG
rnacentral:rRNA from 1 species